rnacentral:lncRNA from 1 species
UCUCACUUCAUUUCAUUCUUUUGAUCUUCAAUCACUGAUACGCUUUCUUCCACUUGAUCAAAUCGGCUACUGAAGCUUGUGCAUGCAUCACGUAGUACUUGUGCCAUGGUUUUCAGCUCCAUCAGGUCAUUUAAGGUCUUCUCUAUGCUGUUUAUUCCAGUUAGCCAUUCGUCUAAUCUUUUUUCAAGGUUUUUAGCUUCUUUGCGAUGAGUUUGAACAUCCUCCUUUAGCUCGGAGAAGUUUGUUAUUACCGAUCUUCUGAAGCCUACUUCUGUCACCUCGUCAAAGUUAUUCUCUGUCCAGCUUUGUUCCGUUGAUGGCGAGGAGCUGUGAUUCUUUGGAGGAGAAGAAAUGCUCUGAUUUUAGAAUUUUCAGCUUUUCUGCUCUGGUUUCUCCCCAUCUUUGUGGUUUUAUCUACCUUUGGUCUUUGAUGAUGGUAACCUACAGAUGGGGUUUGGUGUGGAUGUCCUUUUUGUUGGUGUUGAUACUAUUCCUUUCUGUUUGUUAGUUUUCCUCCUAACAGUCAGAACCCUCAGCUGCAGGUCUGUUGGAGUUUGCUGGAGGUCCACUCCAGACCUUAUUUGCCUGGGUAUCACCAGUGGAGGCUGCAGAACAGCAAAUAUUGCAGAAUAGCAAAUGUUGCUUCCUGAUCCUUCCUCUGGAAGCUUCGUCUCAGAGGGGCACCCGGCUGUAUGAGGUGUCAGUUGGCCCCUACUGGGAGGUGUCUCCCAGUUAGGCUACUCGGGGGCCAGGGACCCACUUAAGGAGGCAGUCUGUCCGUUCUCAGAUCUCAAACUCCAUGCUGGGAGAACAACUGCUCUCUUCAAAGCUCAGUUGGAAAUGCAGAAAUCACCUGUCUUCUGUGUUGCUCACGCUGGGAGCUUUAGACUGGAGCUGUUCCUAUUCAGCCAUCUUCGAACGAUCUCAGCAUACACUUAUUUUUCAAGUGAGUGUAGCUCUUCUGUGGUUUCAGCCAUUGGCCCCAGAGUGUGGGUCUCAACAACAUUUUUGUCCCCUUUAAACUUCAGAAAUGACUCUAGCCUAUGUAAGCCCAGCAUGGCAGCCUGAAUGCACUGUACUUCAUAUGUGCACAGAACUGGGGACAUUGGCAGUGGUGGCUCAGUGCAGUGAAGUUGUCCAUUGCCCAAUCCCAGCUUACUUUAGGCUUAAGUCUGGUGGCAUGUGGGGCUCUGGACAUGCUGCCUUCAAGACAGCUCUUCCAAAGAUGAUGAAUGGGGCUCCAUAUUUUAGCCUCCAGAUCAGGCCAAGCUACGUGGCUGGUCUAGGAAAGGGAGUAAAUGAUUCUGUCCAGUACAGACUGUGCUUUUAUAGUAUGUUCUGUUAUAUACAGAAUGGCAGACACCAAAGUCCAAAUAGUUGGGAGAUGAUCACUAAUUCAUCUGGAAAAAUUUCUUCAGGACCUGAUAGGAUUAAGGUGAAAAUUGUAGGCACAAUUGAAAGUCAGCAGGGUUGUUAUGAUUGAAUCAGGCAAGAAAAGAAGUGAGGGAAAUUCCAUGGGAGGGUAGAGUCCAGUUACUAACAGUGUCUAUUGUAGGAGACAAGAAGUUAAUAGUUUUUUGUCACCCAUUGCCAGGGUUAUGGCUUGCAAUCUUACAACAAAACAGAUUAACAAGAGAAAACCAUUAAAAAAUUAUUUAACAAAGUUUUCCAUGACAAGGGAGCCCUCAGAAAUGAGGACCAAAGACCCAAUGAAAAGUAUGUAUUUUUAGGCUUGGAUACAAAAUUAGCCAGGUGUGGUGGCACAUUCCUAUAAUCGCAGCUACUCAGGAGGCUGAGGCAGGAGAAUCACUUGAACCCAGAAGGUGGAAGUUGCAAUGAGCCGAGAUUGUACCAAAAAUAAAUUUAGUGUCUUUAAAGUUGGCCUAAUAUUUACACAAGUGCAGCAGGAAUAGUGUUUUACCACACAGGGUCUCUUUAAGUUGGCUUUUCUGGAUCUUUUAAUAAGGAAUCUCAAAUUAGACUUUUAAAAGCCUCUCAAGGCUAGGAAACCAUACCAGGAUCUUGCUAUCACACUUUGCCUGGAAUACCUAUAGAUUUCGGUGAAUUCUUCCCUUGUCAAGGUCCUCCAAAUAUCCUGAUGUUCCUCAGCCUGCCAGGAAGUGACAUUUCUUACCCACCUGUAAGGCCAGGAACCCUUUUAAACCAGACCAGUUUCUCAAGUCUGAGUGUGUUGUUUCUGUUCCUAAAAACCACAAAAGAAAGAAAACAGUGAUAUUACAUUCAACGUGGUAACAACUCUGAAUCUUUGUUCUAACAGUGGAAAUAUAAUAUCUCUAGGGAUUAAGCCCGGUCUCCAGAAUGUACCCGGGCCAUAGGAAAAUAACAUCCAGAUGUUUUUUAACAGCACCUACAAGGACGAGCUGAGGGUUUCUCAGUAUAGGGGAAACUGUCACAAGGUGUACCCUCUUUUCUUUUGAAGCAGUAAAAGCAGUUCUCAUUCUUCCCCAUUCUUUGUUCAAAGCAUAUGAGAUAUGAGCCAGCUUUAUAGUUAUUGUCAUGCUACCUUACAUGCAUGUAAAUCUGUUAAGGCUAAUUCAAUACUAGUGUUCUGUCUCUCUUCUGU